rnacentral:rRNA from 1 species
UACGAGGGGGGCAAGCGUUGUUCGGAAUUAUUGGGCGUAAAGGGCGCGUAGGCGGUGCGGUAAGUCACCUGUGAAAACUCUGGGCUCAACUCAGAGCCUGCAGGCGAAACUGCCGUGCUUGAGUGUGGGAGAGGUGCGUGGAAUUCCCGGUGUAGCGGUGAAAUGCGUAGAGAUCGGGAAGAACGCCGGCGGCGAAAGCGACUCUCUGGUCGGAAUCUGACGCUGAGGUGCGAAAGCUAGGGGAGCAAACGGG